UAGGGAAUCUCCGGCAAUGGGGGGAACCCUGACCGAGCAACGCCGCGUGAGUGAAGAAGGUUUUCGGAUCGUAAAGCUCUGUUGUUAAGGAAGAACGAGUGUGAGAAUGGAAAGUUCAUGCUGUGACGGUACUUAACCAGAAAGGGACGGCUAACUACGUGCCAGCAGCCGCGGUAAUACGUAGGUCCCGAGCGUUGUCCGGAUUUAUUGGGCGUAAAGCGAGCGCAGGCGGUUAGAAAAGUCUGAAGUGAAAGGCAGUGGCUCAACCAUUGUAGGCUUUGGAAACUGUUUAACUUGAGUGCAGAAGGGGAGAGUGGAAUUCCAUGUGUAGCGGUGAAAUGCGUAGAUAUAUGGAGGAACACCGGUGGCGAAAGCGGCUCUCUGGUCUAUAACUGACGCUGAGGCUCGAAAGCGUGGGGAGCGAACAGG
rnacentral:rRNA from 1 species